AGCGAACGCUGGCGGCGUGCCUAACACAUGCAAGUCGAACGUGAAAAGGGAAACCUGAGUAAAGUGGCGUACGGGUGAGUAACGCGUAGGUAAUCUACCCCAGAAUCUGGAAUAACCUGCCGAAAGGCGGGCUAAUACUGGAUAGAGCGAGGGAACUCGUAAGAGAGUUUUUCGGGAAAGGGAGCCCGCAAGGGCCUUCGUUCUGGGAUGAGCCUGCGUCUCAUUAGCUAGUUGGUAAGGUAACAGCUUACCAAGGCGAUGAUGAGUAGCUGGUCUGAGAGGAUGAUCAGCCACACUGGAACUGAAACACGGUCCAGACUCCUACGGGAGGCAGCAGUGGGGAAUCUUGCGCAAUGGACGAAAGUCUGACGCAGCCACGCCGCGUGAGUGAAGAAGGCCUUCGGGUUGUAAAGCUCUGUCGGAUGGGACGAACAUCUUCAUAGUGAAUAGCUAUGAGGACUGACGGUACCAUCAAAGGAAGCACCGGCUAACUCCGUG
rnacentral:rRNA from 1 species